CUCUGCCCAAGGCAGCUCCUGAGCUCCACAUCUCCCACCAGUCUUUCUCUGUUUGUGAACAUCAGGACUAACCGGGCACCUCUCCUGGUCCCCUCCUUUUGCUCAGUGGUGACAAGACAGGAGGUCCACUAGUAUACGGGAUGUGUCAGCCUGGAGCUUUUCUUGUCGGUUAGAUAAGAUUAUCUUGUGAGACUUUCCACCACAUUUUGCAGGUAGGUUUAUUGUCUGAACUUUGCUCACUAGAUCAUAAUUAUAUUUAAAUUUGUCUCUCCUUUCCUGAUCCAGCAACUUAAGUGCUUUUACAGUCAUCCCAUGUGACAGAAACCACUAUGGUUCAUGUCUCACCACAAUUAAUUUAAUUAGCACCUGAUGAGAUCUAUAGUAGGUUAACCAUCAGUGGCCACUAGGUGCUCACCAAACCAUUCUCUCAUUUCCCCUCCUCACCAUAGCAAGAACAAAACAAGACGAAAAAAACUGAUAGAUUGAGAUAAGGACAGAGAAAAUCCUCACUAAUUACUGCCAUAGGCAGAGAAGACUUGACAUGGAUAAGAUUAAUUUGAUUUAUUGCCAAGCAAUAUAGUAAUAGGAUAGUGAGAAAAACAAAACUUAAAGCACAUUCUUCCCACUCCUCUAUCCCUUAUUCCCAGGCUCAGCUUCACUCGUGAUUCUUUGACUUCCUUCCCCUUGAGCAGUGCAAGGAGAUGGAGUUUGAAUGUAACGGUUGGUCCAUGACGUGUCAUCUCUGUCACUUCUUCAUCCUCACACUGUUCCCUAGUCCAGCAUGGUGCCUCUUCCACAGGAUACAGUCCUUCAUUAAUUAAUCCAGUGCAAGCAAUCCACAGGCUGCAGGUCUUUGAGAACUACUCCAGCUUUUGUCUCCCAUGGGCUGCAGCUCUGGCCUGGGGCUGCUCCUGCCAGGGCUUUCCAGGUGCUGUGCCUCCUCUGGGCCCUGUCCACCACAGCUCUGCAGGUGCCUCCAUAAUGGCCCAGGGAAAUCUGUUCCACAUGGUGCCCAUGGGCUGCAGGGGAACUGUGAGAAAGACUGUCUAGAAGUUUGUCAAUUUGUAAGUUUGACUCCAGCAAGGAUUUUAGUGAAGCCAUCAUGUCUUAUUCAUAAUUGCAAUGGUGGAUGUACACUGUCUUAUGGCAAGAGAGGAAACACACCUUUCCAGCAAAAUACAGACUGUUAUAUACCCUUUCUCCUGGUGGACGUUCUAAUCUCCCCAAGUUAAAUUACUCAUUGGUGGAGCAUCCCCUGCUCACAGUCUUCUUGAUGCAGUUACUAAGCAAUAUUUCCAUAUUAGGUCUUUUACCAACCAUCCUUCCAAUGUAUCGACUGCACCGCUCAGCUUGAUGUCAUAUGCAAACUUGCCGAGGGUGCACUCGAUGCCAUCAUCUGUGUCACUGAUAAAGAUG